CGGGGGAAGCUUGCUUUCCUGCCGGCGAGUGGCGAACGGGUGAGUAAUACAUCGGAACGUGCCCUGUAGUGGGGGAUAACUAGUCGAAAGAUUAGCUAAUACCGCAUACGACCUGAGGGUGAAAGUGGGGGACCGCAAGGCCUCAUGCUAUAGGAGCGGCCGAUGUCUGAUUAGCUAGUUGGUGGGGUAAAGGCCUACCAAGGCGACGAUCAGUAGCUGGUCUGAGAGGACGAUCAGCCACACUGGGACUGAGACACGGCCCAGACUCCUACGGGAGGCAGCAGUGGGGAAUUUUGGACAAUGGGCGAAAGCCUGAUCCAGCAAUGCCGCGUGUGUGAAGAAGGCCUUCGGGUUGUAAAGCACUUUUGUCCGGAAAGAAAUGGCUCUGGUUAAUACCCGGAGUUGAUGACGGUACCGGAAGAAUAAGGACCGGCUAACUACGUGCCAGCAGCCGCGGUAAUACGUAGGGUCCAAGCGUUAAUCGGAAUUACUGGGCGUAAAGCGUGCGCAGGCGGUUGUGCAAGACCGAUGUGAAAUCCCCGGGCUUAACCUGGGAAUUGCAUUGGUGACUGCACGGCUAGAGUGUGUCAGAGGGAGGUAGAAUUCCACGUGUAGCAGUGAAAUGCGUAGAGAUGUGGAGGAAUACCGAUGGCGAAAGGCAGCCUCCUGGGAUAACACUGACGCUCAUGCACGAAAGCGUGGGGAGCAAACAGGAUUAGAUACCCUGGUAGUCCACGCCCUAAACGAUGUCAACUAGUUUGUUGGGGGAU
rnacentral:rRNA from 1 species